rnacentral:sRNA from 1 species
CUUGCUCCUCCAAAGUCACACUUUUUCCUGCCUGACUUGUUCCUCUCCAGCUAUUCUACCUCCAGCUGUGGGGGCGUCGAAGAAAAAGAUGAGAUCAAGUUGAGGGGAAAAAUUGUCUGAUUUCUCCAGCCCUUUGUUUCCCAGGCCCCUGGCAAGCGGGGCUGGUGCUAGGCUGAGGGCUGGGGACCGGGGGAUCUGCCGGACCCCACCAGCUGGUGGGGAAAUGGACAGAGGAGAGGGGUGCAGAUCCCCGCGGGAGGUGGGCUGUAGGGUGUCCAGGGACUGGUAUGUCAUCCGCCCACCUCUUUCUGUCUUUUGUCAGAACCAAGCGCCUCCAGGUCUCUACACGAAGACCCAGGACCCAGCCAAAGCCCCCAACACCCCUGACAUUCUCGAGAUCGAGUUCAAAAAAGGGGUCCCUGUGAAGGUGACCAACGUCAAGGAUGGCACCACCCACCAGACCUCCUUGGAGCUCUUCAUGUACCUGAACGAAGUCGCGGGCAAGCAUGGCGUGGGCCGUAUUGACAUCGUGGAGAACCGCUUCAUUGGAAUGAAGUCCCGAGGUAUCUACGAGACCCCAGCAGGCACCAUCCUUUACCAUGCUCAUUUAGACAUCGAGGCCUUCACCAUGGACCGGGAAGUGCGCAAAAUC